rnacentral:lncRNA from 1 species
AUCUGUUGUAAAGAGGACAAGAUGAAGGGAAAGAUUUGGGCACUAGAGUCACAGCUGAGGAUCUGUGGACAGGUGUGUUCAGGAACACCGUCUGUACCUAUGACUUACAGUAUAUGGAUGCUCAUACAAAAUCGCCACCAGGCUGAAAUCACAAAGAGCAAUCAUCAUUUUGCUGUCUAGGGAUGGAGCCAAGAUGCUGCUGCUACAGUCAGAGCAGCAGAGGCAGGAGGUGGAGGAGAUGGCUGUAGCCGCGCUCCAGAGGGUCACUGACCAGACUAACAAGGCCCAGGACAGGGCUCACAGCCUGGAGAUGGCACUGCAGACAGCACAGGUUCAGUCAUCACAGUGGAGAGAGCGCUAUGAGGAGGAGAGGAUCAAAUGCACCCAGAUGAGGAAGUCUCUGGUGCAGAACAUAGACAAUAUAAACAUAUUACAGAGCCAGCUCGAGGUACACACACACACACACAUAUAUAUAUAUAUAUAUAUAUAUAUUUCUGGAUUGAAUGGGCAAAUGACAUAACACAAUAAUAUAUGCCUAUAAAGUAUCUAAAAGCUGUCUUCGGAUAUCAAACACCAUUACAGAUAAGUGUGAAAACAGUUACACAUGUCAAAAUGGGGGAUAUCCUCCUUUAAAUGGCGGGAUUGCUCUUUGCUGAAACAAACUGCAAAUGAUGGCUUUAAGUAAAUUAAAUGGGGUUUAUUAUUUCUUGACAAAUCUUUCUUAAUUAAAUAACUGGUGUUUAAAAAGUCAUAGAUGACUUAUCCUAGUAAAUAAGUUCCCAGCAUAGCACACCCAUUGACUAUACAUUGGAAUGACCGUAUUAUCAUUACCGAUAUUAUGGUUCUCAUUACCGAAAUGGACCUGAAAAUAACAUGGUAUUGAGGAAUGUGUGUUUUAGUAAUGAGACGCCCUUAGUUUAAUGUGCAAAUAAUAUGAGACAGACAUUAUGAGUCAGUACGAAAUUGACCCCACCACUGAAGUCUAUUCAUGCUACCAUGGUUGUAAGGUUAUGGUCCUCUGACUUUUUUCCAAUUUGGGCUUUUUAGCCAUUUCGGUAACGAGAAGGUCAAAUGGGGAAACGGGGGUGUUUGAGUAUAAGAACCUCAUUCUGAAUGCAUAUAAGGGAAUAUAUUAAAUUAUCUUGUGCUCAUCUAAUAACUACUCCUCUAGAUCAGUGGUACCCAAACUGUGGGAUGCGCCAUGUUGUAUUAGCAAAAAGGCACAAGCCCAUAGUUUGUGUUACAAUGUUUGAGUCACUCAAAUAUCACAUAAAUACACAUUAGACAUGGCAAAAGGCAUGGCAAAAUGUAUAGAAUUGCAAGAGAAUUAGCUUUAAAAUUGCAAAAUGUUCUCAUAACAAAAUAUGGAGAAUUGCAGGAAAUAAGCUUUAAAACCUGGAAAAACAUUGCUUGUGCCCAUGGAAAUAGACGUGGGGGGCGUGGGAUGUUCCCAUUGCCUGAUUGAAAAUGUUUGGGAAUCCCAUGGGUGAAUUUAUAAAC